rnacentral:lncRNA from 1 species
AAAAAAAUUGUUACAUGAAAAUAAAAUAAAAAUGACCGAAUCUAUCAAGAAUAUUUAUGUUAUGAUCAUUGUUAUUUACCUAUGUUUUGUUAUAAGUGUCACAAACUCUGGUAAGCCCUUUUGUCUCAGCUUUUUCAAAUACUAAUAUUUUAUUUACAUUAUACAUAGUUUUUAAUCUCCUUUCAUUAACACUCUUAUCUCUUCUAUUUUUAAUCACAGAUCAUACUAUCUUUUGUCUUAACGACCUUUUUUGCUACCCUUUAUGUACAUACCCUAGGAGAGGAAAUUGUUCUAAUUUCCAGAGUACAUGUGUAGAGCAAAUAUGGUUAAGUUGGAAAUUUAAUGAUAUAUAAUUUCUAGGCCUAUAAUUUCAUUAACACAUGAUAUAAUGUUAUCAAUAUUAUGAUUAAUUUCACAUUUCAAUUUAU